rnacentral:rRNA from 1 species
CCUACGGGUGGCUGCAGUGGGGAAUAUUGCACAAUGGGCGCAAGCCUGAUGCAGCCAUGCCGCGUGUGUGAAGAAGGCCUUCGGGUUGUAAAGCACUUUCAGCGGGGAGGAAGGCGUUAAGGUUAAUAACCUUGGCGAUUGACGUUACCCGCAGAAGAAGCACCGGCUAACUCCGUGCCAGCAGCCGCGGUAAUACGGAGGGUGCAAGCGUUAAUCGGAAUUACUGGGCGUAAAGCGCACGCAGGCGGUCUGUCAAGUCGGAUGUGAAAUCCCCGGGAUCAACCUGGGAACUGCAUUCGAAACUGGCAGGCUAGAGUCUUGUAGAGGGGGGUAGAAUUCCAGGUGUAGCGGUGAAAUGCGUAGAGAUCUGGAGGAAUACCGGUGGCGAAGGCGGCCCCCUGGACAAAGACUGACGCUCAGGUGCGAAAGCGUGGGGAGCAAACAGGAUUAGAUACCCUAGUAGUC